rnacentral:rRNA from 1 species
CCUACGGGGGGCUGCAGUGGGGAAUCUUGCACAAUGGGGGAAACCCUGAUGCAGCGACGCCGCGUGAGUGAAGAAGUAUUUCGUUAUUUAAAGCUCUAUCAGCAGGGAAGAAAAUGACGGUACCUGAGUAAGAAGCCUCGGCUAACUACGUGCCAGCAGCCGCGGGAAUACGUAGGGGGCAAGCGUUAUCCGGAUUUACGGGGUGUAAAGGGAGCGUAGACGGCAGUGCAAGUCUGGAGUGAAAGGCGGGGGCUCAACACCCGGACUGCUCUAGAAACUGUACGGCUGGAGUGCAGGAGAGGUAAGUGGAAUUCCUAGUGUAGCGGUGAAAUGCGUAGAUAUUAGGAAGAACACCAGUGGCGAAGGCGGCUUACUGGACUGUAACUGACGUUGAGGCUCGAAAGCGUGGGGAGCGAACAGGAUUAGAUACCCGAGUAGUC